CAACGUGUCUACACCUACCAUCUGCGUUUUAGAAAGUAAACACCUAUAUUUGGUAUAGGUUUAGUGUAGCUUUGGAAGAAUACAAAAGAUACAGGUCUCCUCUCUUUCUUCCUCCCUCCUAUCCUCCUUCCCUCCCUUUUUUCUGUCCCUUCCUUCCUUCCACCAUUUUUUUUUUUUUUUUUUUAAUGGCUGCAUCCAUGGCAUGUGGAAGUUCCUGGGCCAGGGAUCAAAUCUGAGCCAUAACUGUGGUAAGGCCCGAUUCUUCAUUUUAUUUUGUUUUUUUCAAGUACUUUAAUUCUUAGUUUUAUUUUAAUUAAAAAUUUUUUUAUUAAAGUAUAGUUGACUUAGCAAUGCUGUGCCAGUUUCUGCUGUACAGCAGAGUGACCCAGUUAUACAUAUAUAUACAUUCCCCUUCUUAUGUCAUCUUCCAUCAUGAUCUUUUACCCACUGUGCCAGCCCAAGGAUCAAACCCAUGCCUCCAUAGGGACCUGAGCCCCCUGCAGUCAGGUUCUUAACCACUGUGCCACAGCGGGAACUCUUCUUCCUUUUUACAAAAUAGGAAUAAUUUAAUUUUUUCUAAUUAUAAAAGUAAUAUUUGUUCCUCAUUUUAAAAAAAAAGAAUCUGAAAAAUACAGAAAGGUUAAAAAGAGAGUGAACCACUUUCAGUCUUAGCACUCAGAAAAAGCAAGGGUUGGAGUUCCCGUCAUGGCACAGUGGUUAACAAAUCUGACUAGGAACCAUGAGGUUGCAGGUUCGAUCCCUGCCCUUGCUCAGUGGGUUAAGGAUCUGGCAUUGCCACGAGCUGUGGUGUAGGUCGCAGAUGCUGCUUGGAUCCCAAGUUGCUGUGGCUCUGGCUCCGAUUCGACCCCUAGCCUGGGAACCUCCAUAGGCUGCGGGAAGUGGCCCUAGAAAAAGCAAAAAGAAAAAAGAAAAAGCAAGGGUUAACACUUUGGUGUAUAUUCUUUUAGAUGGUUUUUCUUGAUAUGCUUUUUGAAAUGGUAUCCUACCUUGCACCCUAUGUUAAAUCUGAUUUUCCUCACUCAACUGCAUCCCUUUCCUCCUAUUGGAGUGGUCAAAAUUUGUAUCGCUUUCUAAGAGAAGUGUGUGUUAAGGACAUUUUUCCUAGUAUGGAUUUUUAAUUUGUAUAAAGUCUACAACUUUUUAUUUUGGAAAUAUCACACAUAUAUAAAAGAAGGCAAGAUGGUGUCUUCUGUCUAUCCAUUACCCAGCUUCAGCUGUUACCAAAAUAUAGCCAAUUUUGUUUAAUCUAUAUCCCUCCCAGCUUCUUUCUAUUAUUUUGAAGCCAAUCCCAGAUAUCAUAUAAUUUUAUCUGAAAAUAUUUUGACAAUAUAGUGUCUUUGACAUAUGGAAAAUUUCAAUGUUUCAGUAAAUCAAAUCAAAUUAGAAGAAAACAGUCUUUAUGAAAUCCCAGCAUGAUUUCUUAAACAGCAUAUUCUUCCCCCACUGACUCGAAAUGCCAGUUGGAUUUUCUCUUCUGUUCCUUUGAUCUGUCUGUUUAUUCUGACAUCCGUACCUUCCUGCUGCAAUUACUAUAGGCUUAAAAUAUAUUUGUUCAUAUUUGAUCCAACGAGCAUCAGGGGAGGCUCUAAUUCAGUCUCCCCCCACCAAUUUUCUUGCGCAUUUCUUCACAUUUAUUCAUCCAGAUUAAUGUCAGAUUUAUUUUAUCAGCUUCAACUCAAAAACUCAAUUGAGAUUUUGAUUGCACUUACGAGAAAUGUAUAGAUGAAUUUGGGGAAGAUUGACGUAUUUAUAAUAUCAAGCCUUCUUAUCUUAAAGCCAAGUAUGGCCCUCUUUUUACGUGAGUUGUUCAGUAAAGUGUGAGAGCUUUUCUUUAUGAGGUCCUGCACUCUUCUUGUUAAGAUUUUUUCCCCUGAUAUUUUGUAUUUUGGUUGCUAUUAUGACUGCAACCCUUUUUUUCCCCUCUUGUAUUUCCUAGCUGGUUGUUACUAUUAUAUAGAAAAUCUGAUAAAUUUUUCUAUAUUUCUUUUGUAACUACUUGCCGUAAUAAGCUUAUUAAUGAUAAUAAUUUUCACUUGAUCCUUUUAUUUUUCUAUGAACUUUUUAUCAAGUUUUUGACUCUCCCUUUAUUUUUUUUUUAUUAUUAUUAUUCUAAUGGCUGCACCCAUGGCAUAUGGUGUUCUUUGGCCAGGGAUUGAAUCCCAGCUGCAACUGCAGCCUACUCUCAGCUUGCAGCAAUGCCAGAUACUUAACCCACUAGUGAGGCCAGGGAUUGAACCCGCGUCCUCACAGAGACAACAUCUGGUCCUUAAGCUGCUGAGCCACAAUUGGAACUCAGUAAGGGGCCUUUUAAAAAUAUAUACCAUAUUUCAUCAAAUGCCUUUUUAGCCUCUAUCAAAUAAUCAUAUUAAUUUUCUCCUUUAACCUAUUUCUGAGAUAAGUUGCAUUGAUGGAUUUGUUAAGGUCGAAAAUCUUCCAAUUCCUGGAAUAAGUUCACUCUGUCAUUUAUACUAUUAUAUUUGUUACUCUUAUGCUGGAUUCUAUUUGUAAUAUAUAUUUUUUUCCCAUUAAUGUUGGCAUAGGAGACUCCAAAUCACUCUUUCAAAAUGCUUAGCUGAGAAGGGGAGGAAGAGAGAAUGAAGCUGUAGAACUCAGAAGGAAGGAAGUAUGUGUUCCGAGCCUCUGAAUAGGUUUGGGGGGACGUGGCCGGGGGAGAGGGAACUCUUGAGGCUGCAAGAGAAAGAGGAACUAGAACCAGAGCCGACGGAGAGAGCAGACAGUUUGUACCGGCGCGCCAGGGGCCAGGUGGCCCUGAGCAGGAGGAGUGGCAGUCUGUGUUGAGACAGGAGAGCAGGAGCCCAGGGUGGGUGACAGAGGCGGUCCCAGUUGUCAUGGGGUCAAGGAAGCAUGGUUGUCCUCCAGGGUUGGAGGGUGAGGGCUGGAGGCACAGGGUGGAAGCUGAGCACAGCUCCUGAGAGAAACAGGGCAAAACGAAGGAUCGCUCUGGAUGCUGGGGGCCCGGCUGAGGUUAGAGAGCUUGACUUUGGAGGGGCUUCAGUUUGCAAGAUGAUGGAAUUAUUCUUCCUCGGAGCAGUGUGGGAGUGGAAGGGGACUGCAAGGUCCAUACGAGGUUGGGUUCUCUCACCCGCAGCACAUGGAGGUUCCCAGGCUAGGGGUCGAAUCAGAGAUGUAGCCACCAGCCUACGGCCUACGCCAGAGCCACAGCAACGUGGGAUCCAAGCCGUGCCUGUGACCCACACCACAGCUCACGGCAAGGCCGGAUCCUUAACCCACUGAGCAAGGCCAGGGAUCGAACCCACAACCUCAUGGUUCCUAGUCAGGUUUGUUAACCACGGAGCCACAGCGGGAAUGCCCCGAGGUUGGGAGGUCUGCUGGGUGACUGAGGAAGGCAGCUGGUGGGGCCAUGGAGCCGAGCAGCCUCCACAGGUUGGCAGGGGAUUGUCAGGCGCUAGGAGGACACACGCGGCGCGGCAGGCCUCUCCACGGGAUGGCUAGCCUAGGUUGUCUUUUUUAAAAUUUCCACCUUGAGGCAAAAUUUUCCAUUUUUGCCCUGUCACAAAACACACAGAAUGCACCAUGGCUUAAGCCAGAUAACUUAUGUAACUGAUUUCAUGCUCUGCCACGUUUCUGACAGUUACAGAACGUCGGUGCAGUUGGGACAUUGUGUUGGGACCACAGGACAUGUGUUGUACUUCCGGGGGCGGGCGGAUGCUGAGACUGGGAAGUGGUUCAGGUGGUCUAGAAGAAAGGCCUCGGUGGGGACAGGGCAGCUGGGAGCCGGCCAAGGGUGUGAGUCCCUGAGGUGACAGACCUGGAGAGUGGCCCCGGGCCUUGAGGCCGAGCUGUGGAACGCGCCUCCUACAAGGAUCUUGAGGUUCCCCCCCCACAUGAGGGAGCAGCUGGCCUGGGUCUCAGUGAGUGUGGGGGGGUGUCCAGGGAGUUGGGGGGUGAACAACACCGAGGAAGAGAGGCGGGUGUGACUGGAAGGCAGACCCUGCAGAGCAAGAGCGGGGGCGUUGGGAACAUGGCACCCUGACUCACCCCGGGCCCUGCGGUUGAGCCCGGGAGGCCCUCGGAGGGGAAGGAGGCCGCCCAGAGAGGGGAGCGACCCACGCAAGACCAUCCCCCACCCCCACCCACACCCACCCAGCUCGUAAGCCGCAGACCUGGGGUACACAGCAGGGUCUGUGGCUCCCUACGGGUCGGCAGGCAGGUACCGCCCCCCACUCCUGCAAGAACCCAUCAGAGCUGAGCCCAGGGCCUCCACCAGCCCCCCGAGGGUGGCCUCUGGGUGGCUCGGUUAAAUGUCCAGCCCUGAAUGUGCCCGUGCAGAUGGGGAGCACAGGGAGAGAGCAUCCUUCUAGGACCCAGGCGCUCUGCCUCAGUAUGGCCCAGCCGGUCUCCUUUCCUGGCAGGUUCUUUGGGGGCUGCCCCUGCCCCUCCCGGAUGGAAGAGGUGCCCUGAGUGUGGGGUUUGGCUCUGGAUGGACCGCGUUCACAUUUGACUGGAGCUCUUGCCAGCUCUGGAAGCUUGGGCAAGCAGCCACCUUCGUUUCAGACCUACCUGCAGAAAGAAGAUGGAAGAUUUAAUCUAGAAUCUGUAUUUCCCUCCCCUUGACCCAUAAACUUCUAAAUAAUAAAAUAAAAUACCUCGGGCUGUUGCCUUCCAGCUUUCCCCCUCCCCUGCCCCUCGUCAGGUGCUGAGGGCUCUGCUGGUUCCUCUGCCUGAAGCUGCUCCCAGACUGAGGGACUGAGGCAGGCCGCCGGGCUGCUAAGAGUGGGGGCUGGUCGUGGGGGUGCUCACCCUCCCGCCCCUCCUGCUCCCCCGCCCCACAUCACACUCUCCUAGCCGGACACCCCCCCAUCACCAGCCUUCCUCAGCUCUCUAGCCUGAUCCCCUCAUCUCAGCCUCAAGUCGGGGCCCUGCUCUUCAAUCUGUAGCUUCUUAGAUCUGUAGGUGGGUGUUUUUCACCAAACUUGGGGAAUUUUUAGCUUUUAUUUCUGAAAAUAUACUUUUCUGCUCAUUUCUCUCCCUCCUUUCCUUCUGAUUCUUUUUAUGUUAAAUUAUCUGACCUCAUCCGCCCAUGGGUCAGUGAGUCUCUGUUCCCUUUUUAAAAUUGUUUUUCUCUCUGGUCUUCGAUGGGAUAAUUUCAUUUGAUCUACGUUCAAGUCCAACAGCCCUUUCUUCUAUAGACUGCAAGCUGCUGUUUUAAGUUUACCCAGCGGAUUUUUAAUUUUAGGUCUUGUAGCUUUCAGUCCUAAAAUUUCCAUUUGGAUCUCUGUUUAUAGUUUCAUUUUCUGCUGAAAUUUCUACAUCUGUUCACUCAUUAUAAGUAUCUUUUCCUUUUAAAUGCCCGAACAUAUUUGUGACAGUUAUUUAAAAGGUCCUAUCUAAUAAUUCUAACAUCUCUAUUAUUCCAAGACCUGCUUGUAUGGGGUCUAUUUUUUUUUCUUUCAUCUUUAUUUUUCUUUU
rnacentral:lncRNA from 1 species